rnacentral:rRNA from 1 species
GACGAACGCUGGCGGCGUGCUUAACACAUGCAAGUCGAACGGAAAGGCCCUGCUUUUUUGGGGUGCCCGAGUGGCGAUCGGGGGCGUAACACGUGUGCAACCUGACCUACAUUUUGGGAUAACUUCAGGAAACUGGGGCUAAUCCCGUAUCGGAGCCGCUGUACCAUGGAGGGGGUUGGAAAGUCUAGGCGGUCGGGGAUGGACUAGCGGGUGAUCAGUUUGUUGGUUGGGGAGGGGCUUGCCCAGCCUUUGACCGGUCGGUCGCCUGAGAGGGUGACCGGCCUCAUGGGGACUGAGGGACGGCCCAGACGCGUACGGGAGGCAGCAGGGGGGAAUAUUGCACAGUGGGCGGAAGCGUGAUGCAGCAACGCCGGGGGCGGAAUGACGGCCUUCGGGGUGAAAACCGCUGUCGCCUGUGACGAAGCGGUAGUGACGGUAAUGGGUGAAGAAGCACCGGCUAACUACGUG